rnacentral:rRNA from 1 species
AGUAAUACAUCGGAACGUGUCUUCUAGUGGGGGAUAACUGCCCGAAAGGGCAGCUAAUACCGCAUGAGACCUGAGGGUGAAAGCGGGGGAUCGCAAGACCUCGCGCUGGAAGAGCGGCCGAUGUCCGAUUGCUAGUUGGUGAGGUAAAGGCUCACCAAGGCGACGAUCGGUAGCUGGUCUGAGAGGACGACCAGCCACACUGGGACUGAGACACGGCCCAG